rnacentral:lncRNA from 1 species
AAACAUUUGAGAGAGUGAAAUCUGGUAUUCUGAAACGCAAGAUGGGGAAGGAAAUUGAAAAGUAUAUAUUUUUGUUGUUUUUUAACCAUUUCUCCUUGCCACGUGUCAGGCAGGAAGUGAAGAGUUUGUAAAGUGAAAUUUUUUCCUCUCUCUGAAAAAAGCCCUCCACCCUUUCCUCUUUUGUUUUUUCGUUCUCUUUUUUUUUAAUUCUUUUUUUACUUAUU